UUACGGGCGAAGAUAAGACGGAUUAGCGGCGGACGGGUGAGUAACACGUGAGUAACCUGCCUUUUACACAGGGAUAGCCUCGGGAAACCGGGAUUAAAACCUGAUGAAACUAUCAAAUCACAUGAUUAAGAAAGUUAAAACUCCGGUGGUAAAAGAUGGACUCGCGUCCCAUUAGCUAGUUGGUGAAGGUAACGGCCCACCAAGGCAACGAUGGGUAGCCGGCCUGAGAGGGUGAACGGCCACAUUGGAACUGAGAAACGGUCCAAACUCCUACGGGAGGCAGCAGU
rnacentral:rRNA from 1 species